GCGUGGGAACGUGCCCUUCAGUUCGGGAUAACCCAGGGAAACUUGGGCUAAUACCGGAUACGUGCGAGAGCAGAAAGAUUUAUCGCUGAAGGAUCGGCCCGCGUCUGAUUAGCUAGUUGGUGAGGUAAUGGCUCACCAAGGCGACGAUCAGUAGCUGGUCUGAGAGGAUGAUCAGCCACAUUGGGGACUGAGACACGGCCCAAACUCCUACGGGAGGCAGCAGUGGGGGAAUAUUGGACAAUGGGCGCAAGCCUGAUCCAGCCAUGCCGCGUGAGUGAUGAAGGCCUUAGGGUUGUAAAG
rnacentral:rRNA from 1 species